UUAAAAAAUAUAUAACAAUUUUGCAAUAGGUAUAAAAAUUUAGUGUUUUUAAAUAACUGGUCUGCAUUAAAUAAAUUACGUAACUGAUACUUGUUGAGAAACUGUCAUUUUUUAAACCAUAAAAUCUUAUUUAGCAGUAAUUCUUUCUAUAUGAUUACAAAGCAAAAAUGGACAUUAAGGGUCUAAGAUCUCAUUCUACCCCUCAAGCACAGGGUCUACCUUCAGUAACAUAAAUAUACAUCUAUUUUUCUUGCUUCUUAAAGAAUCAACAACUUUCUAAUAGUGCUGCCUUGGGAACCAAACCUUCAAUUCAUGGUUGUUUAAGGGAACCUUAUAGUCAAAGCUAGAGGAAUGCCUUACAUUUGCUUUUAAAUAAUAAGUUUGCUUAUUUAUUUAAAAUAGUGUGUGUCUGUGUACGUCUAUAUGUGUAUUUUGUGUGUCUGUGUACGUCUAUGUGUGUAUUUGUGUGUGUGUGUGAGUCCUUGUGUGUGUGUGUGUGUGUGUGUGUGUGUGUGUGAGAGAGAGAGAGAGAGAGAGAGAGAGAGAGAGAGAGAGAGAGAGAGAGAGAGAGAGAGAGAAAGUGUUUGAGUGUUUGAGUGUUUGGGUGUGUAUUGUACAGGGAACAAGCAUUCCACAUAGCUGUAUAUUCAGUUGUUAACAUUUAGAAGGCAUUCAUUUACACCAUGGUUAAGGGAAGCAGUUGUGACAGGAGCUUGGUGUGGUGUGUAAGGAAGUAGGUAGAAAUAUGUGUCAGUUCUCAGUUACCUUCCUACUUUCUCCCCUUUGUAUUUUAUACUGCUGAGUAUGUGACUCAGUUACCAAAUUCAGUGUUUAUUCUGUCUUUGGUUAAACAUAUCUAUAAAUGGUCUCAAAAUUAUACCUAGAAGUAUAUCUUUUGAUUUCAAAUCUAAUAACUAUCAGUUAAGAUGAACUAUAACAUCAUGUGUCCCUCACUGACUGAAAUUUGUACUAGCUGCUUUAAUGUCUAUAUUAUAUAAUAUUCUUUUAUUAGUAUUAUUGAAUUCUCAUUUAUUUAUCCCAAAACAUAAAAACAGUUUGUACAAAACAUUAAAAUAUUUGAAAAAUAAUCGUUACUAAUGGAUGCACCACAUUCACCCUAGAAGACUUUGUUCAUUUCUGAGGUUUUUUUUUUUAACAGUUAAAUUUGUUAUAGUUUUUAAAAUUAAAUUUAAAUAUAUCUUGGUCACAUUCUGUUCCUCCCCAAGUUCCUUGCAGAUUCUUUCUCCCUCUAAACUUUUAAUUUCUUUUUCAAAAAAAAAAUACAAAAUCAACAACAUUUCUGAAAAUUAAAAUGACAAAUCAAACAAUACCCUCCUGAUAAAACCAUAACCAAUAAAAACACACUAUAAACUAUGUAGUUCAUU
rnacentral:lncRNA from 1 species